rnacentral:rRNA from 1 species
AACGAACGCUGGCGGCGUGGAUAAGACAUGCAAGUCGAGCGAGAUUUUUUCCUGUAGCAAUACAGGGGAAAAUCUAGCGGCGAACGGGUGCGUAACACGUGGGCAACCUGCCGGGAAGUGGGGGAUAGCUCGCCGAAAGGCGAAUUAAUACCGCAUGUGAUCAGGGGAGGCAUCUCUCCGAAAUCAAAGUCGGGGCAACCUGACGCUUCCUGAGGGGCCCGCGGCCUAUCAGCUAGUUGGUGAGGUAACGGCUCACCAAGGCGGUGACGGGUAGCUGGUCUGAGAGGACGACCAGCCACACUGGGACUGAGACACGGCCCAGACACCUACGGGUGGCAGCAGUCGAGAAUUUUCCUCAAUGGGCGAAAGCCUGAAGGAGCGACGCCGCGUGGAGGAUGAAGGCCUUCGGAUUGUAAACUCCUGUCAUUGGGGAACAAGGCUGCGCGGUUAACUGCCGGGCAGUUUGAUAGUACCCGAAGAGGAAGAGACGGCUAACUCUGUGCCAGCAGCCGCGGUAAUACAGAGGUCUCAAGCGUUGUUCGGAUUCAUUGGGCGUAAAGGGUGCGUAGGCGGCGCGGUAAGUCGGGUGUGAAAUCUCGGAGCUUAACUCCGAAACUGCAUUCGAUACUGCCGCGCUCGAGGACUGGAGAGGAGACUGGAAUUCACGGUGUAGCGGUGAAAUGCGUAGAUAUCGUGAGGAAGACCAGUGGCGANNGNGGGUCUCUGGACAGUUCCUGACGCUGANGCACGAAGGCCANGGGAGCAAACGGGAUUAGAUACCCCGGUAGNCCUGGNAGUNAACGGUGCACGUUUGGNGUGGGANGANUCGACCCCUUCCGUGNCNGNANCUAACGCGUUAAACGUGCCGCCUGGGG